rnacentral:snoRNA from 1 species
GAAGAAGCAAAAUGAUGAGAAAUACUUGCAGAGCCAAAGUGAGUGAGGUGUGUGUGUGCAGGUGUGUGACGGUUGGUUGUGAGUUGUGUGCCUUGUAAUUGGGCGGUGAUAGCUAAACUGAUAAGAUCUGAUUGCUUC